GAGAAGUCAGGCCAGAUUAAGCCUUAACACGGAAAGAGCUAUGC
rnacentral:lncRNA from 1 species